rnacentral:misc_RNA from 1 species
CCGCUCUCCCGCCAUUCUCUCUCUCCCUCUCGUCUCUCUCACCUAAUCGAACUUUCUGUUCAAUCUGUCUCUCGAACGCUGUCUGCAUUUUCAUGAGAAUCAUAUUGAUCCUUCUCUGGAGAAAUUGGCUCAGUUUCGUGUUAGAUUAAGUGAAUUAUUUCGCGAUGGCUGAAAAUUUAGAUUUGAUGAGGAAAACACCACCUGGGAUUUUGCUUUUAAGAAGCAUAAGAGGAAGAGGUUGGAGCCUGAACACCUAUAGAUAUGUGAUUCUGUUGAUUACUUUCAUCGCGUAUGCUUGUUAUCAUGCAUCCAGAAAACCCAGUAGCAUAGUCAAGAGUGUUUUGGAUCCUGAACCCAAUAAAUCCUCUGGUGAAUACCCGUGGCCAAUAGGGAACAUCUUUAUCAAAGAGGAAUUCCUGGGUGUGAACAAGGCUGGGGUGGAAGAUAAGGGUUGGUAUCCAUUUAAUGGACCAGAUGGGACAUCGAAAUUAGGUGAGAUUGAUGUUGCUUUUCUUGCUUGUUAUUCUUUGGGUAUGUAUGUUGCUGGGCAUUUGGGUGAUACCUUGGAUUUGAGGUUGUUUUUGACAUCCGGGAUGAUUGGUAGUGGCAUUUUCGUGGGGCUAUUUGGGAUGGGAUACUUUUGGAAUAGUCAUGUUUUUGGGUUUUAUUUGAUUAUGCAAAUGCUCGCUGGGUUGUUUCAAGCCACUGGUUGGCCUUCUGUUGUGGCUGUGAUUGGUAAUUGGUUCGGAAAGAGGAAGAGGGGAUUGAUAAUGGGUGUUUGGAAUGCACAUACUUCUGUUGGGAAUAUUUGUGGGUCUCUUCUUGCUGCUAGUGUUUUGGAUUAUGGCUGGGGAUGGUCUUUUAUAGUUCCAGGUGCGUCUAUUGUAGUGGGAGGGAUAUUAGUUUUCUUGUUCUUGGCUGCAUAUCCAGAAGAUGUUGGAUUUCCUUGCGCAAAUUGCCCGAGAGAAAAGGUAGAGGCUGUGUCUAGUGAUAUGGAGGCUCAGGCAAACAAAGGAAGUACAGUGCAAUCAGAGAACAAUAACAUGGUCCGAUCUGGUUCUGCGUUUAAGAAAAGUGUGGGGCUUAUUGAAGCUUGUUUGAUACCUGGAGUGAUACCAUUUGCAUUGUGCUUAUUUUUCUCGAAGCUUGUGGCUUACACAUUUUUGUACUGGCUACCAUUUUAUCUGAGCCAGACAGAAAUUGGUGGAGAGUAUGUAUCUGUGAAGUCUGCUGGAAACCUGUCUACUCUUUUUGAUGUUGGGGGCAUUGUUGGGGGGAUCCUUGCUGGUUACAUAUCUGAUAAACUUAGAGCUAGGGCUAUUACAGCAACCAGUUUUAUGUAUGCUGCAAUUCCUUCCAUUUUCUUGUACCGUGCAUAUGGUAGUGUCUCAAAGACUAUGAACAUUGUGCUUAUGAUGAUUGCUGGCUUAUUUGUAAAUGGGCCAUAUGCACUCAUCACAACUGCAGUUUCUGCUGACUUGGGCACACACAGUUCUCUGAGAGGGGAUUCUCGAGCAUUGGCAACCGUGACUGCCAUUAUUGAUGGCACUGGAUCAAUUGGUGCAGCUCUUGGUCCUCUUUUCACUGGUUUCCUUUCUACAAUGGGAUGGGAUGCAGUUUUUAUGAUGCUGAUGGUUUGUGCUCUUAUUGCGGGGCUUCUUUUAUCACGUCAGGUCAUAGCUGAAGUUACUGAGAAAACUAGAAAACUGAGGCCUUCAUCUAGUGAACGUCAAAGUCAUGAAGCACCUGCAUCCCAGCCACUUUUAAGUGACCAAAGGUGAAAAUCAGGUAAGGCCUCAGGAAAAUGACAAUCGAGAACAAAGUUGAAAAAUAGGCUAAUUAACAUACCUAAAAUAAUAGUCUGAAAUAUCAAACAGGAAAGA